rnacentral:rRNA from 1 species
UACGUAGGUGACCAGCGUUGUCCGGAUUUAUUGGGCGUAAAGAGCUCGUAGGCGGUUUGGUAAGUCUGGUGUGAAAUCUCCACGCUCAACGUGGAGGGGCCACCCGAUACUGCCAUGAUUGGAGUCCGGUAGAGGAGUGUGGAAUUCCCGGUGUAGCGGUGAAAUGCGCAGAUAUCGGGAGGAACACCCGUAGCGAAGGCGGCACUCUGGGCCGGAACUGACGCUGAGGAGCGAAAGCGUGGGGAGCAAACAGG